rnacentral:rRNA from 1 species
CUACGGGUGGCACCAGUGAGGAAUAUUGCACAAUGGGGGGAACCCUGAUGCAGCAACGCCGCGUGGAGGAUGACGCAUUUCGGUGUGUAAACUCCUUUUAUAUGUCAAGAAAAUGACGGUAGCAUAUGAAUAAGCACCGGCUAACUCCGUGCCAGCAGCCGCGGUAAUACGGAGGGUGCAAGCGUUAUUCGGAAUCACUGGGCGUAAAGGACGCGAGGCGGGUUGGAAAGUCAGGUGUGAAAUCCUACAGCUUAACUGUAGAACUGCACUUGAAACUUCUAAUCUAGAGUAUGGGAGGGGGAGAUGGAAUUAGUGGUGUAGGGGUAAAAUCCGUAGAUAUCACUAGGAAUACCUAAAGCGAAGGCGAUCUCCUGGAACAUUACUGACGCUAAGGCGUGAAAGCGUGGGGAGCAAACAGGAUUAGAUACCCUCGUAGUC